GAGGGUACAGCUCAGUGGUAGAGCAUGUGCUUAGCGUGCAUGAGGUCCUGGGUUCAAUCCUCAGUACCACCA
rnacentral:tRNA from 1 species